rnacentral:rRNA from 1 species
UACGUAGGGCGCAAGCGUUGUCCGGAAUUAUUGGGCGUAAAGAGCUCGUAGGCGGUCUGUCGCGUCUGUUGUGAAAGCCCGGGGCUUAACCCCGGGUCUGCAGUGGAUACGGGCAGGCUAGAGGCAGGUAGGGGAGAACGGAAUUCCCGGUGUAGCGGUGAAAUGCGCAGAUAUCGGGAGGAACACCGGUGGCGAAGGCGGUUCUCUGGGCCUGUACUGACGCUGAGGAGCGAAAGCGUGGGGGAGCGAACAGG